ACCUCUGUAUCUGCAGCACCCAGAUCAGUGCUUGGCACCUAGCAAGCACUCAGUAAAUAUUUGUUGAGUGCCUGCUAUGUGCCAGGCAUUGUGCUGAGGGCUUUGUGGGGAUUCAGAG
rnacentral:precursor_RNA from 1 species